GCGGAGGGUGCGAGCGUUGUCCGGAAUCACUGGGCGUAAAGGGCGCGUAGGCGGCCUGAUAAGUAGGGGGUGAAAUCCUGCGGCUUAACCGCAGGGCUGCCUUCUAAACUGUCAGGCUCGAGCACAGUAGAGGCAGGUGGAAUUCCCGGUGUAGCGGUGGAAUGCGUAGAGAUCGGGAAGAAUACCAGUGGCGAAGGCGUUCUGCUGGGCCGUUGCUGACACUGAGGCGCGACAGCGUGGGGAGCAAACAGGA
rnacentral:rRNA from 1 species